CCUCCUUUCUAAGAGAAUUUUAGAAAAUUUUUCUAAAAUUUAACUACAAUCACCACCUUCACAUUCCUUUGUUUAAAGUUUCCAUAUGGGCUAGUAGCUCAGUUGGUUAGAGCACACGCUUGAUAAGCGUGGGGUCGGAGGUUCAAGUCCUCCCUGGCCCACCAGUAAGGGGGCGUAGCUCAGUUGGGAGAGCGGUAGCUUUGCAAGCUAUAGGUCGUCGGUUCGAUCCCGUCCGCCUCCACCAACUUGCGGAAAUAAGAUUUUUUGAAAUAGUGAAUAUUAAUAUUAAGUAUAUUGAAAACUUCAAUUUUGAAUUUUUUUAUAUUUGUGUAUAAAAAAAGUUUGAGAGUUCAAUAAAGUAUGAAAAGGGCGUUUAGUGGAUGCCUUGGCAUUGAGAGGCGAUGAAGGACGUANCGCGUUGCGAUAAGCUUCGGGGAGUUGCGAGCAAACUUAAUCCGAAGAUUC
rnacentral:misc_RNA from 1 species